GCAGUGGUGGCCCAGUGGUAGAAUUCUCGCCUUCCAUGCGAGAGACCCAGGUUCGACUCCCUGCCACUGCA
rnacentral:tRNA from 1 species